rnacentral:misc_RNA from 1 species
UUUUUUUUUUUUUUCAUUUAAUCUUCUUCGCCCUCUUUUCUAUUAGUUAGGGAACAUAUUAUAGAUUUAUGUAUACUGCUCUCCAAGGUUUUUCCUGUGAUUUAGCAUUGGGAGUGUUUUCAAGGGUUCUUAUUGAAUCUGUAAAAGAUGUGUUGCCAAAGGAAUAAGAUAUGAUUCCAUUUAAGUUGUUGGACUAGUCUCUUUCAUCCUUUGCAAUCGGCAUAAAAUUGUAGCCGGAAGACGAUGCGUAAAACCAGUUCGAAUGUAAAUCCGCCG